AGUGCAUCAGGCGGAUGCCUUGGCGAUGAUAGGCGACGAAGGACGUGUAAGCCUGCGAAAAGCGCGGGGGAGCUGGCAAUAAAGCUAUGAUUCCGCGAUGUCCGAAUGGGGAAACCCACUGCAUUCUGUGCAGUAUCCUAAGUUGAAUACAUAGGCUUAGAGAAGCGAACCCGGAGAACUGAACCAUCUAAGUACCCGGAGGAAAAGAAAUCAACCGAGAUUCCGCAAGUAGUGGCGAGCGAACGCGGAGGAGCCUGUACGUAAUAACUGUCGAGAUAGAAGAACAAGCUGGGAAGCUUGACCAUAGCGGGUGACAGUCCCGUAUUCGAAAUCUCAACAGCGGUACUAAGCGUACGAAAAGUAGGGCGGGACACGUGAAAUCCUGUCUGAAUAUGGGGGGACCAUCCUCCAAGGCUAAAUACUCAUCAUCGACCGAUAGUGAACCAGUACCGUGAGGGAAAGGCGAAAAGAACCCCGGGAGGGGAGUGAAACAGAACCUGAAACCUGAUGCAUACAAACAGUGGGAGCGCCCUAGUGGUGUGACUGCGUACCUUUUGUAUAAUGGGUCAACGACUUACAUUCAGUAGCGAGCUUAACCGGAUAGGGGAGGCGUAGGGAAACCGAGUCUUAAUAGGGCGAUGAGUUGCUGGGUGUAGACCCGAAACCGAGUGAUCUAUCCAUGGCCAGGUUGAAGGUGCCGUAACAGGUACUGGAGGACCGAACCCACGCAUGUUGCAAAAUGCGGGGAUGAGCUGUGGGUAGGGGUGAAAGGCUAAACAAACUCGGAGAUAGCUGGUUCUCCCCGAAAACUAUUUAGGUAGUGCCUCGAGCAAGACACUGAUGGGGGUAAAGCACUGUUAUGGCUAGGGGGUUAUUGCAACUUACCAACCCAUGGCAAACUCAGAAUACCAUCAAGUGGUUCCUCGGGAGACAGACAGCGGGUGCUAACGUCCGUUGUCAAGAGGGAAACAACCCAGACCGCCGGCUAAGGUCCCAAAUGAUAGAUUAAGUGGUAAACGAAGUGGGAAGGCACAGACAGCCAGGAUGUUGGCUUAGAAGCAGCCAUCAUUUAAAGAAAGCGUAAUAGCUCACUGGUCGAGUCGUCCUGCGCGGAAGAUGUAACGGGGCUCAAAUCUAUAACCGAAGCUGCGGAUGCCGGUUUACCGGCAUGGUAGGGGAGCGUUCUGUAGGCUGAUGAAGGUGCAUUGUAAAGUGUGCUGGAGGUAUCAGAAGUGCGAAUGUUGACAUGAGUAGCGAUAAAGCGGGUGAAAAGCCCGCUCGCCGAAAGCCCAAGGUUUCCUACGCAACGUUCAUCGGCGUAGGGUAAGUCGGCCCCUAAGGCGAGGCAGAAAUGCGUAGUCGAUGGGAAACAGGUUAAUAUUCCUGUACUUGAUUCAAAUGCGAUGUGGGGACGGAGAAGGUUAGGUUGGCAAGCUGUUGGAAUAGCUUGUUUAAGCCGGUAGGUGGAAGACUUAGGCAAAUCCGGGUUUUCUUAACACCGAGAAGUGAUGACGAGUGUCUACGGACACGAAGCAACCGAUACCACGCUUCCAGGAAAAGCCACUAAGCUUCAGUUUGAAUCGAACCGUACCGCAAACCGACACAGGUGGGCAGGAUGAGAAUUCUAAGGCGCUUGAGAGAACUCGGGAGAAGGAACUCGGCAAAUUGAUACCGUAACUUCGGGAGAAGGUAUGCCCUCUAAGGUUAAGGACUUGCUCCGUAAGCCCCGGAGGGUCGCAGAGAAUAGGUGGCUGCGACUGUUUAUUAAAAACACAGCACUCUGCCAACACGAAAGUGGACGUAUAGGGUGUGACGCCUGCCCGGUGCCGGAAGGUUAAUUGAAGAUGUGCAAGCAUCGGAUCGAAGCCCCGGUAAACGGCGGCCGUAACUAUAACGGUCCUAAGGUAGCGAAAUUCCUUGUCGGGUAAGUUCCGACCCGCACGAAUGGCGUAACGAUGGCCACACUGUCUCCUCCCGAGACUCAGCGAAGUUGAAGUGGUUGUGAAGAUGCAAUCUACCCGCUGCUAGACGGAAAGACCCCGUGAACCUUUACUGUAGCUUUGCAUUGGACUUUGAAGUCACUUGUGUAGGAUAGGUGGGAGGCUUGGAAGCAGAGACGCCAGUCUCUGUGGAGUCGUCCUUGAAAUACCACCCUGGUGUCUUUGAGGUUCUAACCCAGACCCGUCAUCCGGGUCGGGGACCGUGCAUGGUAGGCAGUUUGACUGGGGCGGUCUCCUCCCAAAGCGUAACGGAGGAGUUCGAAGGUUACCUAGGUCCGGUCGGAAAUCGGACUGAUAGUGCAAUGGCAAAAGGUAGCUUAACUGCGAGACCGACAAGUCGGGCAGGUGCGAAAGCAGGACAUAGUGAUCCGGUGGUUCUGUAUGGAAGGGCCAUCGCUCAACGGAUAAAAGGUACUCCGGGGAUAACAGGCUGAUUCCGCCCAAGAGUUCAUAUCGACGGCGGAGUUUGGCACCUCGAUGUCGGCUCAUCACAUCCUGGGGCUGUAGUCGGUCCCAAGGGUAUGGCUGUUCGCCAUUUAAAGUGGUACGUGAGCUGGGUUUAAAACGUCGUGAGACAGUUUGGUCUCUAUCUGCAGUGGGCGUUGGAAGUUUGACGGGGGCUGCUCCUAGUACGAGAGGACCGGAGUGGACGAACCUCUGGUGUACCGGUUGUAACGCCAGUUGCAUAGCCGGGUAGCUAAGUUCGGAAGAGAUAAGCGCUGAAAGCAUCUAAGCGCGAAACUCGCCUGAAGAUGAGACUUCCCUUGCGGUUUAACCGCACUAAAGGGUCGUUCGAGACCAGGACGUUGA
rnacentral:rRNA from 1 species